rnacentral:rRNA from 1 species
CGGACGGGUGAGUAAUGCCUAGGAAUCUGCCUGGUAGUGGGGGACAACGUUUCGAAAGGAACGCUAAUACCGCAUACGUCCUACGGGAGAAAGCAGGGGACCUUCGGGCCUUGCGCUAUCAGAUGAGCCUAGGUCGGAUUAGCUAGUUGGUGAGGUAAUGGCUCACCAAGGCGACGAUCCGUAACUGGUCUGAGAGGAUGAUCAGUCACACUUGAACUGAGACACGGUCCAGACUCCUACGGGAGGCAGCAGUA